rnacentral:lncRNA from 1 species
GGCACAAGGCGCAUGCGAGGUAGCGGACGUGGCGGCGAUAGGGAGGGCGGGCGCUACGGAGAAGGAGAAAAACAUAGCGAAGAAAAAAAAAAAAGAGAGAGAAAAAUGAAGGGAGAGAAAGAAAAGAAAUAAGGGUAUUUUCGUCCGAUGGUACAAAAUUCGGUCCGAAUCUGUAAAAUUGAAAAAGAUGGUCCAGUUUUGCAAAAGCUCAAAACUUGUGAAUUUUUUAUGCAAAUUGGCCAAAAAAAAAUAUCAAUCAAAACCAAUAGAAGUUGAGGGGCGUUUUUUGCAAUAUAGUUGAGGUGUCCCCAUAUAUUUUUACUUUAGGAUUAGUUAAAACAAGCUUGUCAUUUUUAAAAGUUAAACAAAAUCUAACAAUUUAUUUAGUAACCAAUGGUGAGGUUAUUUAUGAUAGUUUAGUAAGAUUGGAGGGUUUCCGUGAAAUUUUAAAUUUUAUAGGAGCACGCUACCAACUAGGCAAGGCAAAGGAUUAAUUGUUGCAAACGUAACACGGUUUAUAUAUACAUUAUCAGCUCCC